AACCCAACUUUAGUUGUUUCUUAUUAGGAACAAAUUUGAAACAUCCUAGCUCCCACUUUUCAUUUUGUUCUUUAAACAAGGACCUCAUAAUUUUUAUAUACAUAAAAUUAAAGCUGAAAAAAAUAAAAUAAACUCUCUUUUGAAAGGAAUGGAGAAAAUAUUUCUUGAGCAAUCAGGGGUAGGUUAGGUUAGUGGAUUAAAUACUUAAGUUAUUGACAAUAUGCACCCACAUGGUCUCACAUAUUUCAACAUAGUGGUUAUGAUCAUUGACUUGAGAAAUCAUGUUAUUGGCAGUAUGCACUACUCUGUUGUGGGAUUUUCUUUCUUCACAACAAUAAUG
rnacentral:lncRNA from 1 species